CGAACCGAAAUAAAUAAAAAUCUUUUUUUUAUUAGAAAAUUACUAAACUAGACAUAGGAAACUUAACUUUCUUCAUUCCUCUUCUCCAUCUCAAUCCGCCUCCUUUCUUCAUUCCUCUUCCCCAUCUCAAUUUUCACCACCACCACCACCACCACCACCACUCUCUCCUUCAAUCUCUUCUUCCAUUACUGUUUAGGGAUUAACAAUUCAAUCUCAACUAAGGUAUGUUUUGUUUUAAUUUUCAUUAGUGUUUUGUUUUAAUUUUCAUUACUCUCCUUCAAUCUCUUCUUUCAUUAGUGUUUUGUUUUGUUUUAAUUUUCAUUAGUAUCGUAGCUUGUUGUGAAUGUAUCAAAUUUUUAUAUAUUUUUGUAUCAAAUAAUAGUUGUGCUGUGAUGUGCUUUGAACCUUACAAGUGAUGGGUGAUUCUACUCCCUUUGUCUUAAACAUCCCUAUAUAUAGUAAUGAAAGUCUUAUAAGGAAAUUGAAGUUGUUGCCUGUCAAUAAUAUCAAUUGUAAAAAGUAGUAGUUCUUUCUUAGUGGAGUGGGGUCUAAUUUUGAAGAAAAGUCAAGCAAUUUGAUGAAGAAAACCAUUCACACACACAUUUGUGAUAUCAGCAUAUAUUUUAUUUCUGCUGGCUUCCAUUCAUGAUCAGUUUGCUUUUAAUCAGCCACAAAUUCUAUGUGAUUAACCCAACUUUGGGUUCUGAUGCUUCAUGCUGCUGUCACCAUAUAUAUUUGUGCUUGAUUUUAUAUCUAAAUGUAGUCUGCAUGUAGAUAUAACUAUUAGUUAGCUAGCUAUAGGCAGGUAAAUAUAUAUAUAUAUAUAGAUGGAAAAUAUCAGAAUAUAUAUGGCUGCAUUGAGUGCAUUGAUCAUAUCAUAAUUCAUAACCACCACCUUGUCCUUGUGAUUAGUACGUAUACACAAUCGAUUUUGUUGCUAUAUAUCUCUAGUUGAUGCAACUGAAAUUAAGCUAAUCUUUCAGUUUUGGUAAAUUGAAAUACAUCCUUGAUGUUGUUUUAUUUUAUCAAAUUUGGUACUGACUUAUUAGUUAAUGUGAUUACCACUACUCAUAAUUAAUUGCACCAAUCUUCAUCUUCAUUGGACUUUUUGUGCAUAUACAUUCUGCUUUCUUAUUUUGACAGAGAACCAGUUUUGGAUUGAAUUUUAUCAGUUUCAAGUUGGAGGAGCAUUCAUGGAUGGAGAGAUACUGCAAGCUUAUGCAAUAGCUUUUGUGAGGUUUUACAAAGAGGUUUCAUGGGUGCAGAGUUGCAGACAUGUAGUGGUUGACCAUCAUCUUUAUGUUGUUAUUUAGUUAGUUCCAAACUUUGAUUUGUUGUAAUAUGGGUGUUGGAAAAUGAUUGGUUGUUUUUGGAUUUGUUUGAUUUUGUAAUUGGUUGUGGACUUAUGGUGGAUCCAUGGUUGGUUCAUUGGUUUUGGACUUUGUUCUAUUUAGUACUUGAUUUGGUGCAUAUCUUAUUUUGUUUAAAGCCGAAAA
rnacentral:lncRNA from 1 species